rnacentral:rRNA from 1 species
UUCCGGUUGAUCCUGCCGGACCUGACUGCUAUCGGAUUGAUACUAAGCCAUGCGAGUCAUUGUAGCAAUACAAGGCAGACGGCUCAGUAACGCGUAGUCAACCUAACCUAUGGACGGGAAUAACCUCGGGAAACUGAGAAUAAUGCCCGAUAGAACACUAUGCCUGGAAUGGUUUGUGUUCCAAAUGAUUUAUCGCCGUAGGAUGGGACUGCGGCUUAUCAGUUUGUUGGUGAGGUAAUGGCCCACCAAGACUAUUACAGGUACGGGCUCUGAGAGGAGUGGCCCGGAGAUGGGUACUGAGACACGGACCCAGGCCCUAUGGGGCGCAGCAGGCGAGAAAACUUUGCAAUGUGCGAAAGCACGACAAGGUUAAUCCGAGUGGUUUCUGCUAAAGGAACCUUUUGUCAGUCCUAGAAACACUGAUGAAUAAGGGGUGGGCAAGUACUGGUGUCAGCCGCCGCGGUAAAACCAGCACCUCAAGUGGUCAGGAUGAUUAUUGGGCCUAAAGCAUCCGUAGCCUGCUUUGUUAGUUUUCGGUUAAAUCUGUACGCUCAACGUACAGGCUGCCGGGAAUACUGCAAAGCUAGGGAGUGGGAGAGGUAGACGGUACUCGGUAGGAAGGGGUAAAAUCCUUUGAUCUAUUGAUGACCACCUGUGGCGAAGGCGGUCUACCAGAACACGUCCGACGGUGAGGGAUGAAAGCUGGGGGAGCAAACCGGAUUAGAUACCCGGGUAGUCCCAGCUGUAAACCAUGCAAACUCAGUGAUGCAUUGGCUUGUGGCCAAUGCAGUGCUGCAGGGAAGCCGUUAAGUUUGCCGCCUGGGAAGUACGUACGCAAGUAUGAAACUUAAAGGAAUUGGCGGGGGAGCACCACAAGGGGUGAAGCCUGCGGUUCAAUUGGAGUCAACGCCGGG